CCUACGGGUGGCAGCAGUGGGGAAUUUUGCACAAUGGGCGAAAGCCUGAUGCAGCAACGCCGCGUGUGUGAUGAAGGUUUUCGGAUCGUAAAGCACUUUCGACCGGGACGAACAACCUCUGGCUAAUACCCAGGGGCCUGACGGUACCGGGAGAAGAAGCACCGGCUAACUCUGUGCCAGCAGCCGCGGUAAUACAGAGGGUGCAAGCGUUGUUCGGAAUUAUUGGGCGUAAAGCGCGUGUAGGCGGCUUUGCAAGUCGGGUGUGAAAGCCCUCAGCUCAACUGAGGAAGUGCGCCCGAAACUGCGAGGCUUGAGUACCGGAGAGGAUGGCGGAAUUCCCCAAGUAGAGGUGAAAUUCGUAGAUAUGGGGAGGAACACCGGUGGCGAAGGCGGCCAUCUGGACGGAUACUGACGCUGAGACGCGAAAGCGUGGGUAGCAA
rnacentral:rRNA from 1 species